UAACUGAUCAGGCAGGGGAGAGACCAAGAUCACUAAGGUGAUUUUUCCAGGUUGAGGCUUAUUCUCAUGCUGAAGCCUUGGAUUCUCCAAAGGUGGGAAACACAGCUGCAUAAUUUGUGGCCAUGGGAGGCCUGUGUUCGUACUCUCUGUUG
rnacentral:snRNA from 1 species